rnacentral:lncRNA from 1 species
UUAUCGGCAGUCGCAUUUCACACUCAUGUGGGUUGUGGGGUUUUUUUGUUUUGUUUCCAAGGUAAAUUCUACGUGAUUCGAGUUACAUGACAGAGAAGCAGGACCGAAGUCCAGUUAUCCAAGCAAUCUCCAUCAGACCUUGACUGGUACCAAGGCAGUGAUCUACUGAUGGAUUAGCUGGAAAUCAGCAGAAGAAAAAGAGAGAGAGAAAGUGGGUCAAGAAG